GCCAACUGAGUUUAGUACUUCCUCCUUACCAAAUAUAAGAUGUUUUUGCAGUUCAAAUUGAACUACAAAAACAUCUUAUAUUUUGAUACAUAGGAAGUAGCUUCCAUAGAAAAUGCAUACAUGAUGUCCAAGGAUGCUACUUGGCAUUUCCGUCUAGAGGCUCACAUGUUUCUUGAUAUCUUCUCAUGUUCGACAUCUGCUUAGCACCUCCGUUUAGAGGCACCGCGCGAUUGUUAUUUGGUCAAUAGUCAUUUUAUGACUGGCAUGAUCGUAUUGGACCAGGGAUUGUUUACUGUACAAUAAUAAUUGUACAUAGCUUCUGUCAAAUAAUCGACCAUUCAGUUUGAUGCUGAUGAAUCUGAAUCACAACUUCUGUUGAAUUCUGGUGGUUAGAGAUACAGCAAGAAUUUCGAUUUGGCAGGUCCCUCACGGAGACACUGGAGGAGAUGGUGUGCUCAACCUGAGUUCGCCUUCAGCAUCCUCCUACAGUUUGACAAGUCCAUGAGUUCCACGCCUACAGCCCCAGGUCAAGAGCAAUGCCUUCUUCAAGGUGCCAACCAAAAUGACACCUCUCCACACAUUUACCACUGUAUUGUACAGGUACCAAUGGAAUAAUGCUAAAAUACCUCGAUGUUGCUACAUGUUUGUUAGUGUAAUUGUACUGAGCAGAUCAGCUACUAAUCUUCCUUGUCUUCUGUUUGAUGCCAUGACGACUUGUAUGCUUAAUUAUUAAGUAAAUUAUUCUGUGGCGCAUGUUAUUUUGCAAGUCGCCAUAGGCAAUUGUUCUUUUGGGACAUGCACAGGGUCGUUUUCAUUUCUCAUUAAAGAGAAUUGAUUUGGAUAUGAUCAUUUUUCAUGCUAAUUUCAUUUCUCAUUAAAUUAUAUAGAGCUUCUACUAGGGAUGAUACCAAUAUAAAUAUGUUUUACCAUGUUUAGUUUUAUUAGACUUGAUGGCGUAUAUAGUUGGGCGCAUUGUGUUUGAUUAAAAUACUCAAUGGCAUUAGUCGCUUCUUUUCCACUUAUGUUGAGCUAUCCCUUGAGAAGAAUAAAAGCAAGAGAAAUAUCGCACUUCAUGAAUGAUGCUUUCCUAUGAAUCUCACACAUAAUUUUAGAUAAUUCCGAUAUUUUACGAUAGGGGUAAUAUUGUCUUCCCAUUAUUUUGGAACUUAUCUACUCUCCCUAUCAGAAUUGAAAUGAGCUCACCUAAGUGGUCUUCAAGUAUGAAGACAAUCUUGUAUGCUUUUUUAGUUUGGUCGUGCAUGAGCAGUACUAAUUACUAUUUGCAUAUUUGUGUAUACAAGAAUGAAGAAUCAGUACAUGUAUGUCCUGAUAUUCAGUCUGCAUGGUAAUUGGCCUUGUCAAUAAGCUGGUUACACAAAUCUAUGUUAAUAAUUGAAUGGUUUGCUUAUUUUUUUGAGUUAGUCCACUUUCUGAAAUCCUCCUCUAGAUAUUUAUUUUUGUUCUUUUGACUAGAGAUCAGAAGGAAGACCUAUUCUGCAUUCACCAGAGGAGGGGGCUAACUGAUCUCUUACAUGCUUUUUUUUAAUUCAAAAACUUGUGAGCAUCAACCCAUGUUUUUUUAACUUGAGAGAAUACAAAAAUAUGGUAGACCAAGAUUAAAAACUAAUAUUAGCUUAUUGCAAUUUGGAGUUGAUGGGAAUUCCAUAUCAUUAAGUGCUUGUAAAUGCUAUGAAAUAUAGAUGGAAAGCAUAAUUGAGAACGUUAUAGUUUGCUUUCCAGUAUUAGAAGAAACUAAGUGCCUAAAUUCAUAGUUGUAGCCUGAAAUGUUAUAGAAUAUCUGUAGUUAUUGGUAAAUGUAGUAAAUCAAACUGAUCUUUUUCCUUUUUUUUCAACUUUCCUCUUAAUGGCCUUGUGAAAUUUGUGGGGUAGUGAUUUCUAAACACUUGUGAUAUUAUCUUCCUUUUUGCACGCAUUAAUUGUUCUUUGGUAGUUGUCUUUGUUACUCAUGUUUAAAAUUUCUUAAAUGCAUUGUCUGAAAUGUCAUAUUGAGUAGUUUGACAGAACAAACCGACAAAACGUACUAUGUUCCACAGCUAAUUUAUAAAUGUUAUUUGAUGUACAUGUCAUUCUUAGCUCUCCAUGGUUUGCUUUGUUGUCCUGUUUCCAUAGGUGGAUUUACAUAGAGCCAUAUAACCAUUCCAUUCUUCUACUAUUCAUGCUAGCAGCGAGAGUUGUUCUAGCAACACAACUACUAACCUUUAUUUGUUGCAAGCACGGAAUAGUCUUCUCCCAAUAAUGUUUUACAUGCAUCGGUGAUGUCUAAUUCAAAUUGUAUGUUUGUAGAGAACCAAAGUGCCCUGACCUACGCUAUAAAGAGAGCAUGUGAAAACAAAGCUAACAAAGCUGAAGUUGUUGCUCAGGAUGAGAAGGAAAGUGAUCUUUGAGCAACACUAGACCUGGACCUAGAACCACUGGCUCACUUAGAACACGAGUUAGUCGAUUGUUGUGAUAAGAGUAAGGGUUGAGAGUGAGUGGGGAGAAGGUUAGAGUUUGUCUGUUCAGUUAUAGUUCUGAGCAGAAUAAUUUUUCUAUUUUAGAAAAUGUGGCAAAUUGCAUUUCAUCAGAGAUGGCUUUGCUGUAAA